rnacentral:tRNA from 1 species
CCUGGUAGCUCAGAGGGUAAAGCGUCUGCCUGCAAUGCAGGAGUCCUGGGUUCAAUCCCUGGGUCAGGA